ensembl:snRNA U6 U6 spliceosomal RNA
UUGCUCACUUCAGCAGCAAAUAUACUAAAAUUGGAAUGAUACAGAGAAGAUUAGCAUGGCCCCUGCGCAAGAAUGACACACAAAUUCAUGAAGCAUUUUU